ACUCCUACGGGAGGCAGCAGUGGGGAAUAUUGGACAAUGGGCGAAAGCCUGAUCCAGCCAUGCCGCGUGUGUGAAGAAGGUCUUCGGAUUGUAAAGCACUUUAAGUUGGGAGGAAGGGCAGUUACCUAAUACGUAAUUGUUUUGACGUUACCGACAGAAUAAGCACCGGCUAACUCUGUGCCAGCAGCCGCGGUAAUACAGAGGGGUGCAAGCGUUAAUCGGAAUUACUGGGCGUAAAGCGCGCGUAGGUGGUUUGUUAAGUUGGAUGUGAAAUCCCCGGGGCUCAACCUGGGAACUGCAUUCAAAACUGACUGACUAGAGUAUGGUAGAGGGUGGUGGAAUUUCCUGUGUAGCGGUGAAAUGCGUAGAUAUAGGAAGGAACACCAGUGGCGAAGGCGACCACCUGGACUAAUACUGACACUGAGGUGCGAAAGCGUGGGGAGCAAACAGGAUUAGAUA
rnacentral:rRNA from 1 species